rnacentral:rRNA from 1 species
ACUUGGCAGCCUGAAACACAGCCACUCCUAUUCUGUUCUGGUUGCUAAGCAGUGUUGGGUCUGGUUAGGAUUUAGAUGAGAGACCACCAGGAAAUACCAGGGAUUCCCAGUU